GAUGUACUCCCUCCGUCUUAAAAUUCUUGUCUUAAAUUUGUCUAGAUACGGAUAUAUCUAAUACUAAAACGUGACUUAACACACCCAUAUUUAGACAAAUUUAAGACAAGAAUUUUGGGACGGAGGAAUACAUG
rfam:Triticum aestivum genome assembly, contig: Triticum_aestivum_CS42_TGACv1_scaffold_362426_4DS